rnacentral:rRNA from 1 species
UACGUAGGGGGCAAGCGUUAUCCGGAUUUACUGGGUGUAAAGGGAGCGUAGACGGUUAUGUAAGUCUGGAGUGAAAGCCCGGGGCCCAACCCCGGGACUGCUUUGGAAACUGUGUAACUGGAGUACAGGAGGGGCAGGCGGAAUUCCUGGUGUAGCGGUGAAAUGCGUAGAUAUCACGCAGAACUCCGAUUGCGAAGGCAGCUUACUAAGCCAUAACUGACACUGAAGCACGAAAGCGUGGGGAUCAAACAGG